rnacentral:rRNA from 1 species
GACGUAGGAGGCGAGCGUUGUCCGGAUUCAUUGGGCGUAAAGAGCACGCAGGCGGUUUGGCAAGUCGGAUGUGAAAACCCGAAGCUCAACUUCGGGCCUGCAGCCGAUACGGGCAGGCUAGAGUUCGGUAGGGGAGACUGGAAUUCCUGGUGUAGCGGUGAAAUGCGCAGAUAUCAGGAGGAACACCGAUGGCGAAGGCAGGUCUCUGGGCAACAACUGACGCUGAGGUGCGAAAGCGUGGGGAGCGAACAGG